rnacentral:rRNA from 1 species
GACGAACGCUGGCGGCGUGCUUAACACAUGCAAGUCGAACGGAAAGGCCCUGCUUUUGUGGGUUGCUCGAGUGGCGAACGGGUGAGUAACACGUGAGUAACCUGCCCUUGACUUUGGGAUAACUUCAGGAAACUGGGGCUAAUACCGGAUAGGAGCUCCUGCUGCAUGGUGUGGGUUGGAAAGUUUCGGCGGUUGGGGAUGGACUCGCGGCUUAUCAGCUUGUUGGUGGGGUAGUGGCUUACCAAGGCUUUGACGGGUAGCCGGCCUGAGAGGGUGACCGGCCACAUUGGGACUGAGGUACGGCCCAGACUCCUACGGGAGGCAGCAGUGGGGAAUAUUGCACAAUGGGCGGAGGCCUGAUGAAGCAACGCCGCGUGCGGGAUGACGGCCUUCGGGUUGUAAAACGCUUUCGCCUGUGACGAAGCGUGAGUGACGGUAAUGGGUAAAGAAACACCGGCUAACUACGUG